AUGGCAGCAAAAGCGCAUGCGCUGAUUGGUGCUGACUUGCGCUAACUUCAGUUAACCUAAAAGUGACAGAUGUUCAGUUGACGGAUCUUUUGUUGGAUUUUGAUGAAAUACUGUUAUUUUCAAGAUGGAAAUAUAAGAAUGAUCCUGUAUUAGCUUUUGUGACGCGCGAGAAACGAUGUCAGUGUGAUUUUCGCGACAAUUUUGCGUCUGGGACCGAUUGCGUAAUAUGACAACACGAACGUAACCUCAAUAUGCUGUCCGAAGUUGACGUGUUUAUUAGCAAUUAUACACUGGUCGAUCCUGAAAUCUAUCAACUUUGGGUCGAUGGACAUACUUCCAGUGACGCGGUCAACAUUCUAAAUCAGCGGGGAAUCUGUCAGCAGACUAACGCGCCGCUCGAGCUGGUUGCGUCCGAUGUCCUCGACCACUAUCGCACCUAUGCUUUACUUGAAAAACUGCUUCACACUCCUACGAAACUUGCCAGUGAGCAGUUGGCCUUUCAGAUAGAGCCGCAAACUAGUCAAAUGCUUAUAGAAAUGUAUUACGAAUUUGACGAUGUUGUUAUACGUGAGUUACUGGGAAAAAAGAUUACAUCCAAAAGUAGGAAGGAUAUGGACGAGGUAGCAGAAAAAACAGGGAUCACGUUGAAGAGCUGUAGGAGACAAUACGAUAAUGUGAAAAGGGUGUUCAAAACUGUUGAGGAUCUACCGGGUUCUCUCGCAACAAAUAUCAAACAACACUUCUUACUUUCUGAAGAUCUCGCUAAGCGAUACGCUGCUGUGGUGUUCAUAGCAUGCCUGCGAUUCGAAAUGAAUAAGAGAAAAUUACAGUUUCUAACUUUUCCCGAUCUGUAUCACUGCGCUAACAGUAUGAUGUCGUCAUGGACGUACCGUUGCGUUGGAUCUGAAUACUUUGAUACUGACUUGGAUAGGGAAUUUUUACAGGAAUUAUCGGAAUGUAGAGUUCUUCUGGAAAACGAUAAACAUCACAAACAAGGAAAAAAUCAAUAUGUUUCAGUUUGGUAUGCUUUAAGCUCAAACCGAUGCUUCUUGACCGAUCCUAUCAAGAAUUAGACAUAAAUUUUCGCUCGUAUUCGAGAGCGAUACUCGGAAUUGGAUGCAACUUGCACAGAUCACGGGAAUUGAGAUUUUUCUUUUUGGAACUGGUAGAGAGAUGUAUCGAACCUUGGCGACAGGUCAAUUGGACGCACUCCGAUUUACGGAAUUUCUUGGCUGUAUAUACACAAUGUGCACUUGACAUGGACGUACUUAGAGAAGGAGAAUUGAGAGAUGCAUUUGAACGUUACAUGACAGUAGUGACAUGUUGUCUAUUACGUAUGUAUCAUACAUAAUUAUCAAUGUAAAAAAUAAAUGUUAAUUAUUUACAUUA